ACACAGGUGCUGCAUGGCUGUCGUCAGCUCGUGUCGUGAGAUGUUGGGUUAAGUCCCGCAACGAGCGCAACCCUUAUCCCCAGUUGCCAUCAGGUAAAGCUGGGAACUCUGGGGAGACUGCCGGUGAUAAACCGGAGGAAGGCGGGGAUGACGUCAAGUCCUCAUGGCCCUUACAUCCCGGGCUACACACGUGCUACAAUGGCAGGUACAGAGGGCUGCAAAGCCGCGAGGUAGAGCGAAUACCCAGAAAACCUGUCUCAGUCCGGAUUGAAGUCUGCAACUCGACUUCAUGAAGGCGGAAUCGCUAGUAACCGCGAAUCAGCAGGUCGCGGUGAAUACGUUCCCGGGCCUU
rnacentral:rRNA from 1 species